GACGGAGGAUGCAAGCGUUAUCCGGAAUGAUUGGGCGUAAAGUGUCCGCAGGUGGCAGUUCAAGUCUGCUGUCAAAGACCGGGGCUUAACUUCGGAAAGGCAGUGGAAACUGAACAGCUAGAGUAUGGUAGGGGCAGAGGGAAUUCCUGGUGUAGCGGUGAAAUGCGUAGAUAUCAGGAGGAACACCGGUGGCGAAGGCGGCUACCUGGACAGAAACUGACGCUGAGUGCGCGAAAGCUAGGGGAGCAAACAGG
rnacentral:rRNA from 1 species